rnacentral:rRNA from 1 species
UCUUAGCUUGCUAAGACUGAUGGCGACCGGCGCACGGGUGCGUAACGCGUAUGCAACUUGCCUCACAGAGGGGGAUAACCCGUCGAAAGACGGACUAAUACCGCGUACACUCUAUGUUGGGCAUCCAAUGUAGAGGAAAUGAAAUUCGCUGUGAGAUAGGCAUGCGUCCCAUUAGCUAGUUGGUGAGGUAACGGCUCACCAAGGCGACGAUGGGUAGGGGAACUGAGAGGUUGAACCCCCACACUGGUACUGAGACACGGACCAGACUCCUACGGGAGGCAGCAGUGAGGAAUAUUGGUCAAUGGGCGAGAGCCUGAACCAGCCAAGUCGCGUGAAGGAUGACUGUCUUAUGGAUUGUAAACUUCUUUUAUACGGGAAUAACAAGAGUCACGUGUGGCUCCCUGCAUGUACCGUAUGAAUAAGCAUCGGCUAACUCCGUGCCAGCAGCCGCGGUAAUACGGAGGAUGCGAGCGUUGUCCGGAUUUAUUGGGUUUAAAGGGUGCGUAGGCGGCCUGUUAAGUCAGCGGUGAAAUCUAGGAGCUUAACUCCUAAAUUGCCAUUGAUACUGGCGGGCUUGAGUGUAGAUGAGGUAGGCGGAAUGCGUGGUGUAGCGGUGGAAUGCAUAGAUAUCACGCAGAACUCCGAUUGCGAAGGCAGCUUACUAAGGUACAACUGACGCUGAAGCACGAAAGCGUGGGUAUCAAACAGGAUUAGAUACCCUGGUAGUCCACGCAGUAAACGAUGAUAACUGGGCGUAUGCGAUAUACAGU